ACACGUAGGGGGCAAGCGUUGUCCGGAAUUAUUGGGCGUAAAGGGCGUGUAGGCGGUUAAUUAAGUCAGGUGUGAAAACCCGGGGCUCAACCCUGGGACUGCACCUGAAACUGGUUAACUUGAGGGCAAGAGAGGGAAGCGGAAUUCCUAGUGUAGCGGUGAAAUGCGUAGAUAUUAGGAGGAACACCAGUGGCGAAGGCGGCUUUCUGGCUUGGCCCUGACGCUGAGGCGCGAAAGCGUGGGGAGCAAACAGGAUUAGAUACCCUGGUAGUCCACGCCGUAAACGAUGGGUACUAGGUGUAGGGGGUGCUGAUACCUUCUGUGCCGCAGCAAACGCAUUAAGUACCCCGCCUGGGGAGUACGUUCGCAAGAAUGAA
rnacentral:rRNA from 1 species